rnacentral:lncRNA from 1 species
AAAAUCUCCCCAGAUGCUCACUGCUCUGAUCAUUUCCCCUACAGCACCAGACAUGUUGGCAUCAUCUCUUAGUUGGGCCCUGUGGCCAGGGAACCCCUCAUGAAACCACCUCUGCAGUCCUGGAGAGUUGCUGUAGAAGAAGGAAAAGAGAGGAAGACAACACAACGCAGGAGGGGAUAAGUACCUCUGGACACAAUGGAAGUAGUAGUUGUUGAGCAGAGGGAAAGGGAUAGGGGAAGGAUGUGGACUGCAGUGCUGCAGUGCCAGAGCCCCAGCAGCUACUAUUAAUGAGUGUCUGGAAUAUGUUCCUGGCAUUUCACCUACACUCUCUCCAAUCCUUCCAAGAAACUCACAAAGCAGGGCUUUUUCUUGAACUUCUCUUCCUCACAACAGUUAAAUCAUCCAUUUAAAGAUGUCAGACAAGCUCUGUGUUCUAAGAACUGUUUACUGAGCUCUAUGGAGACAUAGCUACAAGCACCACAUGCUGGACCCCUGAAUAUGGAGGGCCAACUACACUAGAAACACACAUGCUAGCUGGGAAAGAUGCUGGCUUAAGGAGAUCACCAGUUUGUAGUAGAGGCCCACUCUAGGAAGGUUUGGUAAAAAGCUGUUUUGAAUCAUAAUGUUGGCUUUAUUGGCAUGUUGAAACCAUUUACCUCUGUAAUUUUCCAUUUGUUUUCCUUUCCAACUACCACUCCUCCUGCCUGAUAAAUAAAUACCAUUGCAAGAUUA